rnacentral:rRNA from 1 species
GCCGGCAGCUAGCUCCCUGCAACUCUCACAUGGUUGCCCACUGAAGCUAAGCAGGGCUGCGCCUGGUCAGUACCUGGAUGGGAGAACACAUGGGAAAGCUAGGUUGCUGCCAGAA